rnacentral:lncRNA from 1 species
UUGACCACAGUGUCAGACCUAGUCCCAAAACACACUCGCAGCCAAUCAGCAGUAAGGGGCAUGUCUUGUAAUGAUAGGGAGAAGAGAUCGCUCAGUGAGUGCACAGGACGGAUAUUAGCAGAUCAAAUAAAGCGAUAGAUGGCACAUAAAAAACAAUGAAAAUUUAGGAGGAAUAAAACAUUAAAAAAAGGGAUACGAUCAGGCAAGAUGUAGGACCCAUGUAAAUAUUGGAGCAACUUUUCAGCGGUGGAGAAACUCAAGGAGCGGGAAGGCCUGGAAUCGGACACCGAGGUUGCUUUGUUUCUUAUUGAUAGCAGCCGUAGCUCAAAACUGGACGUCUGUAGUGUGGACAGGAAUCCUCUGCCUUAAUAGAAUUAAAAAAGGCUGAUAUUUAUAGGCCUACCUCUGCAGCACAUUAUGCAAAUGUACUGUAUCAUUAAUAUUCAAAAUGUGAAUGCCAGCCAGCAGUGCUGCAAUGAAAGGUGAAUCCUGCAUCCCACUGCGUCCUGCUCACUGUUUAUUAACGACGGAAGCUUUAACACAGCUCUCACUCCUAUGGAAAUUGGGUAAUCUAAAUGAUUGAAUAUGUGUCCACAGACAGCUACGAUUCAUUUAUUACCCUGAAGUUGUCUGAUAAACAGCAUUAACAGGACUUUGAUGAGAGAGAAUUUGGAUAUCUGCAUCACCAAUUGUCAACAGUGCAUAAAAUAAAUAAAUAAAGUUUAGUACUGCAGAGGAACAAGCAAGUUUUUGGUACAAUGCUUAAAGCCGAAGGUUUUAGCCUGAUGCCUAAUUCAUUUUUUAAUCUCCUUUAUUCUCUUAUAAGACAUCAUUUUAUUUUGAUUGCAUUCAAAAACAGCAUUACUUGUACUGUUUGUAAAUGAUCAAAAAUAGACCCCAAAAAAUUGUCUAUGCUGCUUAAAACACAGUGUAGCAGACAAUAAAACCCCUUACCACACUGUAAAAUGUAAUUAGUUGACUUUACUUAGAAAAAUUGAGGAAACCGAUUGCCUUAAAAUUUCCAAGUAAAGUAUUUUAUAAUUUUUUAGUUGGCACAACUUAAUAACAUUUGUAUACCAAACUUUUUAAUCAAGUAUACUUGAGUAAAGCUGACUCAAAAUCAUUAGUUGUGUUAACUUCUUAUUAGAGUUCACAUUACUAGGAAAAAAUGUGGAAACUGAUUGCCUUAAAAAAUUGAAGUAAGCUGAACUAAAAAAAUUAAGUUAUGACAAAAAGCAACACCUGACCUCAGGUAAAACAUUAUUUUAUUAUCAAUUGUAAAAUACAGUGUACCAAGCAAUCUUUAGACACUCCUAAAUAUAAAACAAUUUUUACUUUAAUCACAAAAAGCACAUCUCCUGUUAACAAAUGAGCAGAGACAAACAAAAAAAACUAAAUAUAUAUAUAUAUAUAUAUAUAUAUAUAUAUAUGACUGAUGAAUGAAUUUCGAAUUUGACAAUCUUUGACCUGAAAUGAACUGAGGAACAGUUGACCUUUUAAAAGCAUCAACGUUAGCUUAAUGCAAUUUUUUUAAACUUUGCAGUGUAAAAAUAUGUUAAACAAAAAUAUUCAACAAUAAAACCAUUAUACGAUUCAAAACCUUUUUGUGUAUUUUAGAAAAUCUGUGCAACAAGCUUAAAGAUACAGUAAAGGGAUAGCCCAAAACUGACAAUUUUGUCAUAAUUUACUCUCCCACAUCUCAUACCAAACCUGUAAGUUUGGAUAGUCUUUGAAACACAAAUAUUUUAAAUUAACCCUGAGCGGUUUAUGUCCCUCUAUUAAAAGUCCAGGUAACCAAAACUAAAAAAGAUCCAAAAAGAUUAUCAAGAUGUCUUUGUGACCUUUUAAAAGCAUCAACGUUAGCUUAAUGCAAUUUUUUAAA